UUUUCGUGGACAAACUUUUCAGGAACGCACAAAGUAACCUAGCAUAGUCCUCCUCUUCCUCUGGAUCAUCGAUAAUCCUCUUCUUCCUCCGAUUCAUCGAUUCAGUUAGUGUUCUUCUACCUCAGUCCUCUUCUUACUCCGAUUGAUGCACUGUUCGCCUCCGAUUUCCACUCGAAUAGAAAGAACGGAGAAAACUCAAUCUCCGCCGGACUCAGCCUUCCUCAGCUCACCACCGUCAUCUUUCUGUUCAUUUGUAUUUGAAGCAAAAGUCGGCAUUGAGGGUUUAUAAGAAGAAGAAAUACUUGCCUUUGGAUUUGCGUCCUAAAAAGAUAAGAGCUAUUAGAAGACGUCUCACCAAGAAUCAGUUGUGUUACUUGAUGCAAUUCAUCUGCAAUUUGGUCUUAUUUGAUGGUUACAGUUGAAAAUUGCAAUAGUCCCGUUCGGAUUCUUGUCAUGUAAGUGUUUUGGUUCUCUUCAUUUUGUCAACUUCAAUAUUUUGGUUUUUUUUUGAAUUUUUUUAACUUGGUUUGAAUUAGCAUUAGUCUCUAGCUGAAUCACAUUGAUAACAUUUUGUAUUCAUAUUAUUCAAUGCAAUUCGUCUGUAACCUAGGGUAUACUUUAACUUUUAGCAUAAAAAUUUGGUGUGCUCUGAAUAUUUUGGAUCAUAGUUGUUCGGUUUGUGCUUUGUCAUUGCUUCAGUUCAUGUUCAUGUCAUCUCCAUUUUUUGCUAUAUAUAUUUAAACAUGAAAAGCUUUGACUAUCCUUUUUUACUAAACCAUGCUGAGCUUUGAUUUACAAAAAUGACUAAUUUGUGUUCUUAAUAUUCUGAUUCAAAACACUGUAUUGCAGAUUGAUUCUCUAUUCAUUUGCUAAUACAGAUGUAAAGACUCUUAAUUUUUUAUUAACUGCUUUUGUAAUGUAAUGCUAAUUAGACCAAAUGCAA